UGACAGCACCAGGUACAGCUGACAGGGUGCAGCACCCAGGCCUCUGUGUGCUGAGGUGCUCUCUGUUUGUCCUCUAGAGCCUCUCCUUGGCCAGCAGAGAGAGGGGCUAUUGGGAGAAAAGUCCAACUUGCGGCUUCUCCCUCGGGGAAGGGAAGCUCUGUGUUUGAGAGCAUUUUGAGUGGCUGGUUCAGCCUUUCUUGAGUUGCAGCUGGGAGGGGAGCUGGCACAAUGGCUGUUUCAGCACACAGAGCCAAGCCUGGCUACAGUUCAUGAUGCAGUGAAAGAAGACCAGAUGGGGGUGUCAGCAUUCUCACCCCAGCAAUGAGACUCUGUGAGCACAGUGCAUGGACACCUGGGCACAUGGAGGUGUACCUGACAGGGGGGCUCGGAAUACCAAAUGAAUUUGAAAUAAAAGAAGGAGAAUGCAAGAGCA